CUUACAUGUGUAUAAGUUAAUGGGCAAGUAAACCCGUAAGGCAUAAGGAAGCUAACUGGUGGGAUCCUCUAGUGGGUUGCAUAACCUACCGACCUUGAUCAUUUGAAAAGGGUUCGAGUGUGAGCAUACGUGUUAGGAACCAAAAGAUUGUGAACUAUGCCUGAGCGAGGUGAAGCCAGAGGAAACUCUAGUGGAGGCCAGUAUUGAUACUAACGUACAAACCAUUCGUUUGACUUAGGUAUAGGGGCCAAAGACUAAUCGAACCGUCUAGUAGUUGG
rnacentral:ncRNA from 1 species